AAUUAUAAGAAUCUUUUCUCAAUUCAGCAAAUACUCAUAUUGAGUUUUAAUUAAUAUAUAUAUUGUUGCUGUUGGUUAUAGUUCUCAUUGAAUAAAAACUAUGCUGUAUGUCACCAAAUAAGUGAGAGAGAGUAAGAGAGAGAGUAGUUUUUUAUGUAUAGAUGGUAUAUAAUUUUUUUAAACAUAUGUAAUAUUUUCCUUCAGAAAUUCAUGAAAGUUUUAUACCAUUCAAUAAUGAUAUAAAACUACAGCUUUUUGCAUGUUGCCAAAACAAAGAAAAACAUACCUAUUUAUACAGAAGUAAAAAUGAGCUAAACUGAAUUGUGGAGUAAUCUUGUGCUAGGGCUAAUAGUAUCAGAAAAAAUCUUAAUACUAGUGUUUUGGUAUUUUUAAUUUAUGAAAGUGGGAUAUAGCUAUCUCUUUUCCAAAAAGCAAACAUUUUUCUCAAAUUUUGGUGAUGAGUGCAAUGAAAUGUUUUGUCUGAUGGCCAAAUGGAAGUAUGUUGUUCAAUUUCUGGAUUUUUCACCCCGGAAGAUUUGGACUGAUUCAUUGCACCUAAUCCUUCAUCUUGUCAAUCCCAUUAGGGAUGUUAAUGACUCAUGGUGGAUACUGGACUUCUCCAAUGCUUAGUAAUUUCUAAUCAACCGUGAAGAAGCUGCAAUAAAAUAAGGAAAAAACAACUAAUUGCUUGAAUUCAUAUUUUAAAUCAAAUUUUUUUAUUACAG
rnacentral:lncRNA from 1 species